AUUUGCCAGGAACCUUCUACUGAUGUUGACCUAAUGGGACCAACCCAACCACCCAACAGUGAGGUCCCUACAGUCAGGGACUUGCCCAUUCUGGAUUCACCAUUUGCCGAGAAACUUUCGGCCAACAUUGACCAGAAACCUAACGGGUCCAACACAUAGAUCAGCAGGUGAGCUGAGAUGACCUUUGGCAAGGACUUCCCACCGCAAGGGCUGGCCUACUAUUGACUCCCACCGGCCUCAUCCUGUGCUGAGGAACCUCCUACUGGUGUUGACCAGGAACCUAAUGGGUCCAAUCUGUACAGGACGCGGUGAGCAGUGGUGAGGACCUCCCAAUAUCUACAUAGUCGCCAGCCAGCUGUCACAUGGAGGACUAUCGCAACGUUCAAGAAACAUUUGGACAGCCUCAGCCCUUCGGUGAGACGGGAUGAAGAGAUUACUCUGGAAUCCGCACAUCUGGGAACAUCUGGGAAAAGCUGGAAAAACAUUGGGCAGGUCGGGCAGCGGCUGUGGAGGGAGAAACGGGUCUGGACAACUAUCUCCACUCAGGACUCACAUUAUCCGGAUGAGAACUUGGACAAUCACUGACCACAACUCCAGGAGUGGACUGUGCUGGAAGGAACUGCAGAUGCUGGUCUACACCGAAGAUAGACACAAAGUGCUGGAGUAACUCAGCGGGACAGGCAGCAUCUGUGGAGAGAAGGAAUGGGUGACGUUUCGGGUCGAGGAGUGAACUGACCAGCGGUGUGGAGACCAGACCCGGCCACUGUCUGGCCACAGUCACCCAACCAGACUCCGAGUGUACUUUUCAUAUUUUUUUUUCCCACAUAAAAAUCAAUAUUGCAUUUUGGCAAUUAAACAUCUGUGUGUCG